rnacentral:rRNA from 1 species
UUAAGAAAAUUAAUCUAAGGGCAGAUGGUGGAUGCCUAGACCAGAAGAGGCGAUGAAGGACGUACUAGGCUGCGAUAAGCCAGGGGGAGCUGCCAAGAAGCUUUGAUCCCUGGAUUUCCGAAUGGGGCAACCCGGCAUGGCGCGAGUCAUGUCACUCUUAGGAGAGCGAACGCGGGGAAGUGAAACAUCUCAGUACCCGCAGGAAAAGAAAUCAACCGAGAUUCCCUUAGUAGCGGCGAGCGAAACGGGAACAGCCCUAAAAUCUUUGAGGUGUUAGUAGAAAUUGCUGGAAUGCAAUACCGUAGAGGGUGAAAGUCCCGUAUACGAAAACUAAUCAUAGACUAUUCGAGUAGGUCGGGACACGUGAAACCCUGACUGAAUAUGGGAGGACCACCUUCCAAGGCUAAAUACUACUUCAGGAUCGAUAGUGAACCAGUACCGUGAGGGAAAGGUGAAAAGAACCGCAGUGAGCGGAGUGAAAUAGAACCUGAAACCAUCUGCCUACAAUCAUUCAGAGCCCUAUGUUUUAUACAGGGUGAUGGACUGCCUUUUGCAUAAUGAGCCUGCGAGUUAUGGUGACUAGCAAGGUUAAACAAACGUGAAGCCGUAGCGAAAGCGAGUCUUAAUAGGGCGAUAGUUAGUUGCUGUAGACCCGAAACUAAGUGAUCUAUCCAUGGGCAGGUUGAAGCUGGUGUAAGAGCUAGUGGAGGACCGAACGGGUGAAGGUUUAAAACUUCUCCGAUGACCUGUGGAUAGGGGUGAAAGGCCAAUCAAACUUAGUGAUAGCUGGUUCUCUCCGAAAUAUAUUUAGGUAUAGCGUCAUGUUCGAAAUAUGAGGGGGUAGAGCACUGAUUGGGCUAGGGCGUAUACCAAUGUACCAAACCCAGUCAAACUCCGAAUACCUCAUGUGAAUUCAUGGCAGUCAGGUGGUGGGUGAUAAAAUCAAUCAUCGAGAGGGAAACAGCCCAGACUACCAGCUAAGGUCCCAAAGUCCUAUUUAAGUGGAAAAGGAUGUGGAGUUGCUUAGACAACCAGGAGGUUGGCUUAGAAGCAGCCAUCCUUUAAAGAAAGCGUAACAGCUCACUGGUCUAGCGAUUCUGCGCCGAAAAUAUAACGGGGCUAAAAUAGGCACCGAAGCUGUAGAUUUAGUAUUUAUACUAAGUGGUAGGAGAGCGUUCUAGUCAGCAUUGAAGCCAUACCGGUAAGGAGUGGUGGAGCGGCUAGAAGUGAGCAUGCAGGCAUGAGUAGCGAGAAAACAGGUGAGAAUCCUGUUCGCCGUAAACCCAAGGGUUCCUACACUAUGCUCGUCAAUGUAGGGUUAGUCGGGUCCUAAGCUGAGUCCGAAAGGGGUAAGCGAUGGCAAAUUGGUUAAUAUUCCAAUACCAACUAAUAGUUUAGUACGAUGGGGGGACGCAUAGGGUUAAACGAGCUCACUGAUGGAAUAGUGGGUCGAAGGGCGUAGGUAAGCCGGAUAGGAAAAUCCGCCGGCUCUUUCCGAGACCUGACAGGCUGAUGACGUUCUUCGGAAUAGAUUCAGAAUCGUUGAUACCGUCGUGCCAAGAAAAGCCUCUAAGUGUAUUAUUAGUUGCCCGUACCGUAAACCGACACAGGUGGGUGAGAUGAGUAUUCUAAGGCGCGUGGAAGAACCCUGGUUAAGGAACUCUGCAAACUAGCACCGUAACUUCGGAAUAAGGUGUGCCUAACUUGGUAUAUGGACUUGCUCCAAAAAGCUAAGAAGGUUGCAACAAAGAGUCCCUCCCGACUGUUUAUCAAAAACACAGCACUUUGCUAACUCGUAAGAGGAUGUAUAAGGUGUGACGCCUGCCCGGUGCUUGAAGGUUAAUUGAUGGGGUUAGCUAAAUACCGACCUGCAUGAAUGGCGUAACGAGAUGGGAGCUGUCUCAACCAGGGAUCCAGUGAAAUUGUAGUGGAGGUGAAAAUUCCUCCUACCCGCGGCAAGACGGAAAGACCCCGUGCACCUUUACUAUAGCUUGACACUGCAAUUGGGAUAUAUUUGUGCAGGAUAGGUGGGAUGCUUUGAUGAUAUGACGCCAGUUGUAUCGGAGCAGUCCUUGAGAUACCACCCUUAUGUAUUCUGAUUGCUAACUUGCUUGGGUUAUCCCCAAGGAGGACAAUGUCUGGUGGGUAGUUUGACUGGGGCGGUCGCCUCUAAAAGGUACGCCGGGGAUAACAGGCUGAUCUCCCCCAAGAGCUCACAUCGACGGGGAGGUUUGGCACCUCGAUGUCGGCUCAUCGCAUCCUGGGGCUGAAGCAGGUCCCAAGGGUAUGGCUGUUCGCCAUUUAAAGCGGUACGCGAGCUGGGUUCAGAACGUCGUGAGACAGUUCGGUCCCUAUCUGCCGUGGGCGUUGGAUGAUUGAGGAGAGUUGACCCUAGUACGAGAGGACCGGGUUGAACGAACCACUGGUGUACCAGUUGUCCUGCCAAGGGCAUCGCUGGGUAGCUAUGUUCGGAUGUGAUAACCGCUGAAAGCAUCUAAGCGGGAAGCCAACUCCAAGAUGAAUCAUCCCUGAAGAUCCGCAGAAGACUACUGCGUUGAUAGGCUGGGUGUGUAAGUGAUGAAAGUCAUUUAGCUGACCAGUACUAAUAGAUCGUUCGUAUUUACUUUAU